GCCCGUCACACCAUGGGAGUGGGUUGCUCCAGAAGUAGCUAGUCUAACCGCAAGGGGGACGGUUACCACGGAGUGAUUCAUGACUGGGGUGAAGUCGUAACAAGGUAGCCGUAGGGGAACCUGCGGCUGGAUCACCUCCUUAAUCGAAGAUCUCAGCUUCUUCAUAAGCUCCCACACGAAUUGCUUGAUUCACUGGUUAGACGAUUGGGUCUGUAGCUCAGUUGGUUAGAGCGCACCCCUGAUAAGGGUGAGGUCGGCAGUUCGAAUCUGCCCAGACCCACCAAUUGUUGGUGUGCUGCGUGAUCCGAUACGGGGCCAUAGCUCAGCUGGGAGAGCGCCUGCUUUGCACGCAGGAGGUCAGGAGUUCGAUCCUCCUUGGCUCCACCAUCCAAACAAUCGUCGAAAGCUCAGAAAUGAAUGUUCGUGAAUGAACAUUGAUUUCUGGUCUUUGCACCAGAACUGUUCUUUAAAAAUUCGGGUAUGUGAUAGAAGUAAGACUGAAUGAUCUCUUUCACUGGUGAUCAUUCAAGUCAAGGUAAAAUUUGCGAGUUCAAGCGCGAAUUUUCGGCGAAUGUCGUCUUCACAGUAUAACCAGAUUGCUUGGGGUUAUAUGGUCAAGUGAAGAAGCGCAUACGGUGGAGGCCUUGGC
rnacentral:misc_RNA from 1 species